AUAGCCGGGUAUUGAGCGGUCCGGGUGUCUGCUGCUCAAAGUAAAGACCGUUUGAGAAGGCGGGGAGAGAUCGAAGAAGCUGCUUUAUCUUACAGUCACCCAAGGGGGAGCGCCUUCUUCCUUCCCAGAGUGGAGUGGCAGUGGGUCCGGGAUUCUGGGAUAUGCACAGGGUCUGCGCCCUGCGCCCUGUCCGCGCUGAAACUGAACUUGUCAAUGGUUUGCAACAGCAUGGUGAAGAAGUGUGGUGUGGAUGGAUGGACGGGCCUCUCAGGCACAUGAAAUACUCAAAAGCCCAGUAUUAACCAAACAUGUUUCUCUGUUUUGUCUUUGAUCUUUGUGCAGUGUGUUGGCUUUUUUCCUUUAAUGAUGUCACUUGUAUUUUAUUUUUGGUUUAUUUGUAGACUGUCUCCCUCCUUGGCCAUGGCUUUACUUUUAUGUCCACCCAAGGAGAGUUUCACCAGUUUAGGUUUAAGAAAUUACUGACAAGUUAACAAUAAUAAUUUCAAAAUUGAACAAUAAUAACUUAAACCGUGCCUUGGACAUAGUAGAUCUCCAACAGUGUUUCUUGAAUGUGGCUACCUAAUGUGGAACAAGAUUUUUCAUAAUUACAUGUUGCUAUUUUUAAUACCUUUUGGGAGGUUCUUUAGUCCCCCCCGCCCUUUCUCCCUACGUUGCACAAAGAGACCGGUCUACAAGGGGUCCUGUUAGUUUUCUGGUUUUGUGGGGUCCUGGAAUAUUGUUUGGGCUUAUUGAGAGUUAACAAGGAUGUAUUUUGUGAGUUUCUCCAAAGUCUUAUUCAGAGUAAUAGUAUUUCAAAGCAAGAAGUGUUUUAGAGAGAACAUCAUUCUGCCUCUUGUUUAACAGGUGAGGAAACUGAGGAAAAACCAGCUUACCUGGCUAAUCAACCACAAGUACAGAUAGUUCCACAAUGACUCAAUGGAUAUUACUUCAACUUUGUUCCCUCAAGAAACUUUUCUGAUUAAGCUUGUUGAUUUGUGGCUUGAUGGUUUACAGGAAUGGUCAUUUUUAAUAUCUAGGACCCUGCUUGCUUGCUUGCUUGCUUACUAGACUGGCUGCAUAGUCAGUCUUCCACGUGUAAACAAUAGUGUGUGCUUUAGUGGAUAAGAGAUGUUGAGUGCUGAGAUUUCAGGGCUCAGCACUGAGUAGACCUAGAGCAUUUUUAUUUAUACUAAAUUAAUGCCAUGGUAACCUAAGUUAGACAGCAAGUGAAUAUGGCAUCAAAUGUACAAAGUUGAGUAUCUCUUUACUAGUCAAUGUAUAAGGAAUUUAUUUACCCAAGCAAUUAUCUUAAAAACAGCAUUACAAGUGGUAUGCGAAACAUUUCCAGAAUUUAUUUCCACAUCUGCUCUUUCAGUGGCAUCAUCCAUUCCUGAGCUCAAGAAAAGGCCUCUGCCAACCGCCAAUAAUCCUGCUUUUUUAGUAAUCCUACUAUUUUUUUUUUUAACUUUUAAGUUCUGGGAUACAUGUGCAGAACAUGCAGGUUUGUUACAUAGGUAUACAUGUGCCAUGGUGGUUUACUGCACCUAUCAACCCGUCAUCUAGGUUUUAAGCCCUGCAUUCAUUAGAUAUUUGUCCUAAUGCUCUCCCUCCCCUUUCCCCCCCCCCCGACAGGCCCCAGUAUGUGAUAUUACCGUCCCUGUGUCCAUGUGUUCUCAUCGUUCAACUCCCACUUAUGAGUGAGAACAUGCAGAGUUUGGUUUUCUGUUGUGUUACUUUGCUUAGAAUGAUGGCUUCCAGCUUCAUCCAUGUCCCUGCAAAUGACAUGAACUCAUUCUUUUUUAUGGCUGCAUAGUAUUCCAUGGUGUAUAUGUGCCACAUUGUCUUUAUCCAGUCUAUCAUCGAUGGCAUUUGGGUUGGUUCCAAGUCUUUGCUAUUGUAAAUAGCACUGCAAUAAACAUACAUGUGCAUGUGU
rnacentral:lncRNA from 1 species